CGGAAAGACACGGUUUUACCGCCCGCACGCGGCACUGCGGGCAGCACCCCGAGCGCGCAGCGCCCCAGGGCGCGCGGCACCGCCAACCGGGAGGGCACGUGUUACAUAAACGGCACCAGAUGGGGGGCACCCAGAGCUGCCCGAGCACCGACCCCCGCGGAGGGAAAGGCACCGCAACGCAACGCAACGCAACCCCCGCCUCGGAACGCCGCAGAGCCGCUAUGCCGCAGCCAGAGCCGCGGCGAGCGUCCCUCCCCGACCCCCUAUGUACUGAGAAAGAAGAGAGAAUUCAGAGAAGAGGCACUGAAGACCUGAGAAACUGUCUCACAGUGAAGGAUUUAUAGAAGUUACUCUUUUCGGUUUCUCUAAAAGAAAAUUGAGAGAUGACUGGAUUGCAGCAUUCUUACACCAGGAUUUUAUAUGCCUCUAACAGAAAAGGGUAUAAUGCCUGGAAGCCAAAGUUAGAGAAGUUCAGAUUCAAAAUCAAGCACAUUUAAUAGCAAGAUAAUUAAGCACGGGAACAACACGUCCAGCACAAAUGAUUUUCUCUUAAUACCUUUUAGGAAGAUGUCUUUAUGAAAUAAAAGUUCUACAUGGGCAAAAGACAGAAUAAAAAAUGUACA